ACCUGCCUUCCAUCUACAAGGAAGGAAGCCUGAUGACAUUAUGGAGAACAGCUCUGAAGCAGAAUCACUUACACUUCAUACAUCAAUGAGCUGCAGAUGCAGCUGGGAUGCUGUGCAGCUGCUGAUUGUCCCAGCCACUAACCCUCCCAAUCUCUCAUUUCCUCUGCCACAAAGAGAGAAAAAAAGUAGAUCUUCACAUACGCAGAGUUUUCAGAGCUUGCUCCUGCCUGUGCAGUUGUACCAAAUGCAGUGCCCUUUCCACACACAAGAAUAGGAAGAGUAAUGCGGAGAGCAAACUGCCAAAAUAUACCCAAAGGUUUCUGCUGUUUGAACCAACAUUAUCUGCUUCUCCCAGAACUGCAGCCUUUGGAGAAAUUUUGGCAAGGAUUUUGUGACAAUGCACCAACCAGGGAACUAAAUGAAUUGCCUGGAUGGGCACUUGCCUGCAUGUAAAUAACUUCUCCUGCAGCGUGUGGAGAUUCUUGAAACAUCCACAAGUUCAGGGGAACUGACCUGCUUCUUACAUUUAGAGUUGGUGGUUUCAGGGAUUACAAGUGCUGUGGCAGAAAAUCUAUGAGUAAGAAGGCAAGAAAGGAAAUGGAAACUAAAGAUGCAAAUGGAAAGAAAAAAAGAUAAAAAUAUCACACCUGUAGAAAAAUGGCUGAAGAUGCAGGCAGAUGACCUUUGGAUUUAGAGUGUGGAUGUCUUUGCUUUGGGUUAUCUGUAACCACAAAAGCUGAGAAGAAAACCAGUCAUCACAGAUGUGCAGGUGACACCCCCAGUCUAACGAAUAAGUGACAAGCAUGCAUCUGCUACUAUAAAAGAUGAGUAAGAGAGAAAAGACUUUGCAGGGGGACAACUUCUGCACAACAAUGAGGCAUCAGUACAUGUCCAACAGACCCCCAGCCCCCUUUUCCUUGUGCUCAGCUUGGUUGGCCACCAAGCUGACUUGAGUACUUAAAGACUAGUAACAUCAGAAUGGAGUGUCUAUGUUAACGUGUGCCUAUAAGUGCAGCAAUUUAAGCAAGAAGGAUAUAA